AUUGAACGCUGGCGGCAUGCCUUACACAUGCAAGUCGAACGGUAACGGGCCUUCGGGUGCCGACGAGUGGCGAACGGGUGAGUAAUGUAUCGGAACGUACCUUUCAGUGGGGGAUAACGUAGCGAAAGUUACGCUAAUACCGCAUAUUCUGUGAGCAGGAAAGCAGGGGAUCGCAAGACCUUGCGCGGCUUGAGCGGCCGAUAUCAGAUUAGCUAGUUGGUGAGGUAAAGGCUCACCAAGGCGACGAUCUGUAGCGGGUCUGAGAGGAUGAUCCGCCACACUGGAACUGAGACACGGUCCAGACUCCUACGGGAGGCAGCAGUGGGGAAUUUUGGACAAUGGGGGCAACCCUGAUCCAGCCAUGCCGCGUGAGUGAAGAAGGCCUUCGGGUUGUAAAGCUCUUUCGGCCGGGAAGAAAUCGUAUCAGCUAAUACCUGGUGCGGAUGACGGUACCAGCAUAAGAAGCACCGGCUAACUACGUGCCAGCCGCCGCCGUAACAC
rnacentral:rRNA from 1 species